AUAUAUUGUUGGGUAUGUACAACCACAAGGCAAAGUUAAGGGUCAAAUGUACCCAACAUAGCAAAUUUGAUGCAAUUUUUGAUGCCAGAACUAAUUUUCCAUUUAUUUUGUAAGGUCAAUUUAAAUGUCAUUUUUCUUUAAAAAUAAACCAGUAAAAACCAAUAGGGAAUUCUACAGUACAAAUCAGGCUAAGAAAUUUUACUUUAAAAAAGGCUUAGAUCAACUUUCGUUUAACUGGAUGGAAAAUAGUGGUAACAUAUAGAGAAUUUACAUUAGAAACAUUUUGUUUGCAAAUUGAAGAUAUUUUAGGUUGAAGAUGCAUGUUCAGGACACACUAUUUAUAAUAGAUUCAAUCCACUUAGUAAUCUCAGGAUCUCUUUAAAUAAUUGAAUUUUGAAGGGAAUUUAGCAUUUUUGCAGAACUAAAUCCAAAGUAAAGACAGCAUCUAAUGAAGCAACCUUGGGUUCAUGCAGGCAUAUUUAGUUAGUCUAUAAGAUGCAUCUCUGCCUGGCAUCUGCCUAAAUUCAAAGAGUCUUUUACAGUUCCAGAAAUCCGUUUCCCCCUAUAUGUAAUUCUUAGAGGUCUCAAACUAAAUUUUUGAGUAUAUUAAAUAAAUGGCCUAAUCCUACUCUUUUUGGUGUGUUGUAGUUAACUUUAGUAGAAAAAAAAAAUUAGAGUUGUAGGGUGAGAUUUUGCAAGUGCUCCAGACCCACUGUUGAGGAUGGAUUUUUUCAAAGAUACACAGUUCACAAGCUGAGGACUUUUCAAAAUCUAGCCCCUGAUGUGAAGGCUGGGCUCUCUUGAAAAUCUGGUCUGCAAUAUAUAGUCAAUUGGUAAAAUCUAAAAUUUGCCAUGUUUUAUGUCAGGAAAAUCAACCAAUCCAAAAAAAAA